AUGUAUACACACUCAAGCGAACUUGCAAACGUCACAAAACACGGGAACUUCAUUACAAACCAAUGGAGGAACAAAGCAAAGCAAAAUAUCUUCAAAGUGAAGUUGGAGAAAUGCCUUGGCAGCAGUGCUACAACCGUCACCGGGUUUUUCCUCGCCUACUUCAAGCAUCAUCGCCAUGCUCCUAACCUAGCCGCCGCCGUCAUCACCGUUAUUCUUCCCGGUCCACGACGACUACCUCGACACCAGCCACCCCGACUCGACAUCGACCACGGCGUCCCUCGCAUAGCUACACCGCCCUACGCUCUUGGCUACCUCGAGAUUGGCACAAAGGGCUAA
rnacentral:rRNA from 1 species